rnacentral:rRNA from 1 species
UGCUCUAUGCGGGAAGAAUAACCACGGUAACCUGUGGCUAAGAGUGUAGAAUAAGGUGCAAUCCUAUUAGUUUGUUGGUAGUGUAAAGGACUACCAAGGCAGUGAUGGGUAACGGGAAAUCAGGGUUUGAUUCCGGAGAGGGAGCCUGAGAGAUGGCUCCCACGUCCAAGGAUGGCAGCAGGCGCGAAAAUUGUCCACUCUUUUGAGAGGAGACAGUUAUGAAACGUGAGUAGAAGGGUCGAGUGUAAAAACCUUGACGUGAAGCAAUUGGAGGGCAAGUUUUGGUGCCAGCAGCCGCGGUAAUUCCAACUCCAAGAGUGUCUAUGGUGGAUGCUGCAGUUAAAGGGUCCGUAGUCGUAGAUGCAAUUAAAAGGUGGUGUUAAAAGCCAUUGAGUUUGUUGAGAGUAGCGGAACGGAUAGGGAGCAUGGUAUAGGUGGGCAAAGAAUGAAAUCUCAAGACCCCACCUGGACCAACGGAGGCGAAAGCGAUGCUCUUAGACGUAUCUGGGGAUCAAGGACGAAGGCUAGAGUAUCGAAAGUGAUUAGACACCGCUGUAGUUCUAGCAGUAAACUAUGCCGACAAUGCUGGGUGUUGCGAGAGCGAUGCUUGGUGUGGGAGAAAUCUUAGUUUUCGGGCUCUGGGGAUAGUACGCUCGCAAGGGUGAAACUUAAAGCGAAAUUGACGGAAGGACACUACCAGGAGUGGAUUGUGCUGCUUAAUUUAACUCAACGCGGGAAAACUUACCAGGGUCAAGUCUAUCGUAGAUUGGAGACAUGAGGUAGACAAGAGUGGUGCAUGGCCGUUGGAAAUUGAUGGGGCGACUUUUAGCUUAAGUGCUGGAACCAGUGAGAUCUUCUAGACAGGUGUUAUUUAGGCACAGGAGGGAGAAGGCAAUAACAGGUCCGUGAUGCCCUUAGAUAUCCUGGGCAGCAAGCGCAAUACAAUAUCUCUUGAGAAGACAAAGCAAUUUGAGAUGAGUAGGAUUAGCUUUUGUAAAUAAGCUA